rnacentral:rRNA from 1 species
AGUGAACGCUGGCGGUAGGCCUAACACAUGCAAGUCGAACGGCAGCACAGUAAGAGCUUGCUCUUACGGGUGGCGAGUGGCGGACGGGUGAGGAAUACAUCGGAAUCUACUUUUUCGUGGGGGAUAACGUAGGGAAACUUACGCUAAUACCGCAUACGACCUACGGGUGAAAGCAGGGGAUCUUCGGACCUUGCGCGAUUGAAUGAGCCGAUGUCGGAUUUGCUAGUUGGCGGGGUAAAGGCCCACCAAGGCGACGAUCCGUAGCUGGUCUGAGAGGAUGAUCGGCCACACUGGAACUGAGACACGGUCCAGACUCCUACGGGAGGCAGCAGUGGGGAAUAUUGGACAAUGGGCGCAAGCCUGAUCCAGCCAUACCGCGUGGGUGAAGAAGGCCUUCGGGUUGUAAAGCCCUUUUGUUGGGAAAGAAAAGCAGCAGGUUAAUACCCAGCUGUUCUGACGGUACCCAAAGAAUAAGCACCGGCUAACUUCGUG